AACGAACGCUGGCGGCAUGCCUAACACAUGCAAGUCGAACGAGACCUUCGGGUCUAGUGGCGCACGGGUGCGUAACGCGUGGGAACCUGCCCUUAGGUUCGGAAUAACUCCCCGAAAGGGGUGCUAAUACCGGAUAAUGUCUUCGGACCAAAGAUUUAUCGCCUUUGGAUGGGCCCGCGUUGGAUUAGCUAGUUGGUAGGGUAAAAGCCUACCAAGGCGACGAUCCAUAGCUGGUCUGAGAGGAUGAUCAGCCACGCUGGGACUGAGACACGGCCCAGACUCCGACGGGAGGCAGCAGUGGGGAAUAUUGGACAAUGGGCGAAAGCCUGAUCCAGCAACGCCGCGUGAGUGAUGAAGGCCUUAGGGUUGUAAAGCUCUUUUACCCGGGAUGAUAAUGACAGUACCGGGAGAAGAAGCUCCGGCUAACUCCGUG
rnacentral:rRNA from 1 species